rnacentral:tRNA from 1 species
GGGGGUGUGCCCGAGUGGCCAAAGGGGGCAGACUGUAAAUCUGUUGGCGACGCCUUCGUUGGUUCGAAUCCAACCGCCCCCACCA